rnacentral:rRNA from 1 species
AGCGAACGCUGGCGGUAGGCUUAACACAUGCAAGUCGAACGCACCCUUCGGGGUGAGUGGCAGACGGGUGAGUAACACGUGGGAACGUACCCUUCGGUUCGGAACAACUCAGGGAAACUUGAGCUAAUACCGGAUACGCCCUUCGGGGGAAAGGAUUUAUCGCUGAGGGAUCGGCCCGCGUCUGAUUAGCUAGUUGGUGAGGUAACGGCUCACCAAGGCGACGAUCAGUAGCUGGUCUGAGAGGAUGAUCAGCCACACUGGGACUGAGACACGGCCCA